AGAGUUUGAUCCUGGCUCAGAAUCAACGCUGGCGGCGCGCUUAACACAUGCAAGUCGCACGAGAAAGUGGAGCAAUCCAUGAGUACAGUGGCGUACGGGUGAGUAACACGUGGAUCAUCUACCUUCUAGUGGGGAAUACCUCCGGGAAACUGGAGACAAUACCGCAUAAGCUCGUAAGAGGAAAGCAGAAAUGCGCUGGAAGAGGAGUCCGCGGCUGAUUAGCUAGUUGGCGGGGUAACGGCCCACCAAGGCGAAGAUCGGUAGCCGGCCUGAGAGGGCACACGGCCACACUGGCACUGAAACACGGGCCAGACUCCUACGGGAGGCAGCAGUGGGGAAUCUUGCACAAUGGAGGAAACUCUGAUGCAGCGACGCCGCGUGAGCGAUGAAGCCCUUCGGGGUGUAAAGCUCUUUCGACGGGAACGA
rnacentral:rRNA from 1 species